rnacentral:tRNA from 3 species
GCACAGAUGGUGUAACGGAAGCAUAAGGGUCUCCAAAACCUUUGGUCAUGGUUCAAAUCCUUGUCUGUGCG